UGCAUAUUAUGUUGCACCUGAAGUACUUCAUAGGUCAUAUAGCAUUGAAGCAGAUAUGUGGAGUAUUGGUGUGAUAACUUAUAUCUUGUUAUGUGGAAGUAGACCUUUCUGGGCACGUACAGAGUCUGGCAUUUUCCGUUCUGUGUUACGAGCUGAUCCUAAUUUUGAGGACUCGCCUUGGCCUGCAGUGUCAGCAGAGGCCAGAGAUUUUGUGAAAAGGCUUUUGAAUAAAGACCAUAGGAAGAGAAUGACUGCUUCUCAAGCACUGACUCAUCCAUGGUUAAGGACUGAAAAUCCUUUUGUACCCUUAGACAUAUUGAUCUUUAAAUUAGUCAAGUCUUAUAUUCGAACAUCACCCUUGAAA
rnacentral:misc_RNA from 1 species